rnacentral:rRNA from 1 species
CCUACGGGAGGCAGCAGUAGGGAAUCUUCCGCAAUGGACGAAAGUCUGACGGAGCAACGCCGCGUGAGCGAUGAAGGCCUUCGGGUCGUAAAGCUCUGUUGUCAGGGAAGAACAAGUAUCGGAGUAACUGCCGGUACCUUGACGGUACCUAACCAGAAAGCCACGGCUAACUACGUGCCAGCAGCCGCGGUAAUACGUAGGUGGCAAGCGUUGUCCGGAAUUAUUGGGCGUAAAGCGCGCGCAGGCGGUCCUUUAAGUCUGAUGUGAAAGCCCCCGGCUCAACCGGGGAGGGUCAUUGGAAACUGGGGAACUUGAGUGCAGAAGAGGAGAGCGGAAUUCCACGUGUAGCGGUGAAAUGCGUAGAGAUGUGGAGGAACACCAGUGGCGAAGGCGGCUCUCUGGUCUGUAACUGACGCUGAGGCGCGAAAGCGUGGGGAGCGAACAGGAUUAGAUACCCUGGUAGUCCACGCCGUAAACGAUGAGUGCUAAGUGUUAGGGGGUUUCCGCCCCUUAGUGCUGCAGCUAACGCAUUAAGCACUCCGCCUGGGGAGUACGGCCGCAAGGCUGAAACUCAAAGGAAUUGACGG